CCACUUUUUUUUAACUUUUUAUUAAUUACAAAAUUAACCUUUUUUUAUUUUCUUUUUUACUUUUUUAACCCUCCUAAUAAAACCCUAAUUUUACUUUCCUUUCUUUAACUUUUACUUUCUUCAUCUUUCACUUUCACGCAGCAGAGCCCCACCUCCCCUUCCCUCCCNCUUCCCUCCAUUCUCAACCCCACCCCACCUCCCCUUCCCUUUGCAUUCUCAACCCCACCUCACUUCCCCUUCCCUUUGUAUUCUCAACCCCACGC
rnacentral:lncRNA from 1 species